GGGUAUUUAGCUCAGUGGCAUGGGCACCUGCCUUGCAAGCAGGCGGUUGUGAGUUCGAUCCCUAGUACCCA
rfam:Cavia porcellus supercont2_32 genomic scaffold, whole genome shotgun sequence.